GGCUUGAAAAUACACAGGAAGCUAUCCUCUCAGAGACAUGAAGACUGCAUCCCUAGGCUCUGUGCUUUGCACCCGCUGGGCCUCAGGUGUAAGUUUGUUCCCAACAUACCAGACAGAGAGCAACUCUCACCAGAGAAGAUCCCAAUGUGUUUUAUGCUAGAUCUGACUUUAAUUAAGUGUAGACAAUGCUCCCAUCAGUGCUGGAACUGGCCCCGGUAACUUGCUUUAGCUGAUGGAAUGUUACCAAACACAACAUGAUCAAAGGCUUGAGAGAUGAUUUCCCUCCUGUGCUUCCGCAAUUACCAUGAAAAGAACAUGGCCUGGUGGUCCCUGAUCCCCAAAGAAUGACGGACACCUGGAAAAAGCUUGGAGUAACAGAUUCAUGAGCAAGAAUAAAUAAUUAUUGUUUUAAU
rnacentral:lncRNA from 10 species